rnacentral:rRNA from 1 species
GUAUCAUGGCUCAGAUUGAACGCUGGCGGCAGGCCUAACACAUGCAAGUCGAACGGUAACAGAAAGCAGCUUGCUGCUUUGCUGACGAGUGGCGGACGGGUGAGUAAUGUCUGGGAAACUGCCCGAUGGAGGGGGAUAACUACUGGAAACGGUAGCUAAUACCGCAUAACGUCGCAAGACCAAAGAGGGGGACCUUAGGGCCUCUUGCCAUUGGAUGUGCCCAGAUGGGAUUAGCUAGUAGG